CAGGCUGUAGAGUCACACAGCGAGGCUGUGAUUCUCUGGCUUCAGCUCUAUUUUCAAACCCCUCACACCUGAGAGAGCUGGACCUGAGAUACAAUCACCUAGGAGACUCAGGAGUAAAAGCGCUGUCUGCUGCUAAACUGGACACACUCACACUGCUUGUGGACCAUGGAGGAGAGAACAGGACCAAACCAGGACCAAGGAAAUAUGGCUGUCAGCUCACACUGGAUCCAAACACAGCGCACAGAAAGGUGUCUCUGUCUGAGGGGAACAGGAAGGUGACACAGAGACCGUGGAGAGAGGAGCUGCCAUAUCCUGAUCAUCCAGAGAGAUUUGAGCAUGUGCCCCAGGUUGUGUGCAGAGAGAGUGUGUGUGAGCGCUGUUACUGGGAGGCUGAGUUCAGUGUGUCUAUGUGGGUGGGGGGACGGGUUUCUAUAGCAGUGACAGAUAAAGGAAUCAGCAGGAAAGGACCGGGUUCUGACUGUAGGUUUGGAGGGUUUAAAAACUCCUGGAGUCUGGAUUGCAUAUUCAAAUGCUCUGAUAAACUCAGAUACUCUGUCUUUCACAAUAAGAACAAAACACACAUACCUGCCCCCCCCUCCCCCUGCUGCAGAGCAGGAGUGUGUGAUGAUGCUGGUAGAGGAGCGUGUGUGGACAGGGUAGGGGUGUGUGUGGACCGUCCAGCCGGCACUCUGUCCUUCUACAGAGUCUCUGGCUCUGACACACUGACCCUCCUGCACAGAUUCCACACACACUUCACUCAACACACACCCCUCUAUGCUGGAUUUAGAGUGGAGAACUCCUCAGUGUCCCUCUGUUAACUGGAGUAGAGACACACACACACACAUUCACACACACACACACAUGUGCACGCACACACAAACAUGCACACACACACACACCCUCAUGUACACGCACACACACACCACAUUCAUAUGCCCACUCACACACCACACACACUCAUAUACACAUACACACACACACACACUCAAUCACACACUCACACACACACACACUCAACUACACAUAGACACACACACACCCACACCUAAACACACACACAUACUCUCACACACCCUUUCUCUCUCACACUCAUGCACACGCACUCACAAAUACACACACUAAUGUACACUCAUGCACACGUACUCACACACCUACGCACGCACACACUCGUGCACACACACACACACAUACACACUCUCACACCCAAUCACUCACACACCUAAUCACACACAUGCACACACACACCUACACACAUGAACACACACAAUCUCUCGCACACACAAACACACACAUUCACCAGUUCACUCUCACACACACACACACACACGCAUGCAUACACACACACUCACUCUCUCAUACUCAGUCACUCACACACACCCUCUCUCUCUCACGCACACACACACAAACUCAUGCACUUACGCACACACACAUACAUGGGUGCAGAGACACAAACACGUGUCAACACACACAUUCACAUUCCCGUACGCAUGCACACACA